AUGAACGCUGGCGGCGUGCCUAAUACCUGCCGGUCGAGCGCACGGACGAGAAGCUUGCUUCUCUGAUGUUAGCGGCGGACGGGUGAGUAACACGUGGAUAACCUACCUAUAAGACUGGGAUAACUUCGGGAAACCGGAGCUAAUACCGGAUAAUAUUUUGAACCGCAUGGUUCAAAAGUGAAAGACGGUCUUGCUGUCACUUAUAGAUGGAUCCGCGCUGCAUUAGCUAGUUGGUAAGGUAACGGCUUACCAAGGCAACGAUGCAUAGCCGACCUGAGAGGAUGAUCGGCCACACUGGAACUGAGACACGGUCCAGACUCCUACGGGAGGCAGCAGUAGGGAAUCUUCCGCAAUGGGCGAAAGCCUGACGGAGCAACGCCGCGUGAGUGAUGAGGGUCUUCGGAUCGUAAAACUCUGUUAUUAGGGAAGAACAUAUGUGUAAGUAACUGUGCACAUCUUGACGGUACCUAAUCAGAAAGCCACGGCUAACUACGUG
rnacentral:rRNA from 1 species